UAAAAAGAAUUUACUAAAUAGAACGAGAACAACAGUAACAAUAGUGAGUCAAAAAAGAAAUGUGUAAAAUGCAGCAGUGGCUUACCGAGCAUAGCAACCACUCCCCACAGCAACACACACCAGACCGGAACCUGAAAAUGGAGACCGCAAAUGGAGACCACCUGUAUCCCUGGGCAUGACGUCACAUGGUAUGAAAUACUCCAAUGACUGAUUAGGAUCCUGCCCUCUAACUGUGCUCCUUCUCAAUCCAGGGAAAGUUAACCAUCAUGGUUGAAACCAGGACACAAACCUACUUAUUCCCCUUAUUUUUCUACAAAGUGUGUGUCACUACAGGUUGUUGGAUAAAUUUAAGACUUUUUCCAAGGACAGCUGCUUUCAAGUUUUUAACAAUAAGAAAAAUAUGUUUUUAAGAAGAGCAACAAAAUGAAAGUUGCCAAGCUCCUAUGACGUUUCCUAACUGCACGUUGAAAGAUGCACUGUCUUGUGCGCUUCUGGCUGAAUUAUGUGUGCACCUUUCUGCUGAAAAUCAGCUGUGUUCCAGUUGGAAGUGCUGUUAGGGAAAAUAAAUUCUGAUUUAUUUGAGGCUUUUUCAAGCUAAACCAGGAAGUUUUCUGUCUGCGCCAUCAAAAAUCAAAUGCUUACUUCAUGUUUUCUAGAAGAGAAAAUGGGACAUUUCUUGAGCUGUCUUUAGCAUAGUUCUUAGACAGUCCAUGUGGAUAAUAUUCAAGUUAUUAUGCGGUUAGUAUUACUAAGACAAAGCUCACCUUACUAAGUUCAGCUCCUACAUAUCCCAUCACAUGAAAUGUAAUUUGCUUAAAACAGUUAAGGUCACAUUAAAUGUUUAAACUUGGUGGCCCAUUUCCUAAUACAUUAUCCAGUUUAGAACCUUCCCUGCCCACUGAAUUGUAAUUUCUGAAGACGAUAUUAUUUUUCUUGUGUUUGAGUUUUAUAUCAAGAACCAAAGAUUGCUCAAAGUUAAGUUAACGUGACCUUGGGAUCAUUUCAGUUAUGUGCUAGAAAGUCAGGUGUUCGAGCAUGCAGCAUACAUGACUGAAUUAAAGAUUUGAUUUCGGCUGUUGCCACUUUCUAAUGAAGCCAUUGAAACAAACGCAGAACACAGUAGAAAGGAACAGUCCAUCAGUGUGAUGCUUCUUCAGACAGAUGUAAGCUGAAGUUGCAAAAAGUGUUUCAGGACAGUGUCAGUCAUACUGUACUUUCACCCUAGCAGGAGAUGGAAAAAAGCAGAAAUGGUUUUGAAGAACUUGAAACAGGAUUCUUCAAAAGAAAUUGAUUUGAUACAAAAUUACUAUCCCUAUUUGCUAAACAGAUGGAAAGGCAACAGCUAUGUGGUUUUUUUAAAGCUACACCCCCCAAAAAAGCAGAAAAGCUAAAAAUAAGACAAUAGUACAAAAGCAGUUCAGAAAAAUGUAACUACAUCACAAGUUGUGGAGCAGAAUUUGGACUGGUGGUAGUAUCUGCCUGUAGCAGGGAAGAAGCUACCAGGUACCUUUUUACCUGAUGCUUGAUGUUUCCCAGCUGCUAAUCGAUGCAGAAGAUGAUGUAUCCAGUCUGCUGCCUCUCCUAGAAAGCUGCAUUACUUACUUUAUCCUUCUACCAAUCUUAGCAGCUUUCCUUUGGGCUCUGGAGAGCAGGUCUGUAUCACAUCAGAGAACUCUGCUGGAAGAGAGAUUUCUGUGAGACAAUCUUCAGCUGAUCAAUAAUCAAUGUCACUGGAAAAAUUAGUGUGGUCCAGCCAACGUUCACCCUCUCAGGUACAGAAGCAGGGACGGUUUCCUGUGGUUGUGAGCAUCUCCUGAGGUCAGAGGCUGAGGGAGCCAGUUGCAAAGAUAGCUGUGAUUUAGAUGGGGUUUUUUAUUUCAUGUAGAACAGCACAGAUCUUGGCAGGGUUGUGGUGCUCAGCUGUUGUGUGUACAUUUUUAUGCAGCCAGUAAAGGGCCCGUAACUUACCCGUGAGAGUUUUCACUGAAAUCCUGAAGUACAUAUCAGAGGAUCUAUAUCUGUCCUCCACAUGACUUGGGACCUUUUUCCUAUACAGACGGAUUAUUUGGAAUAUGUGCUAUUUCUUAGCAUGAAAAUUCAUAUUUCUUCUUUCUCUUCUUUCCAAAGACUGCCUUUUAACUUGAAGGACUUUAGUGACAUUUAACAUAAAACAGGUGUGAAGACAUAAAGUACCACAAGCAAAUUGGACAUUUAAAAGUUUAUUAUGACUUUAAAGUUAAGAAGUUAAGAAUUUAACAGUAAGUUAAAACAAACCAUCCUGUGCUUCUUGUCUUUUUCCUACGACAAUGUGCAAGG